rnacentral:rRNA from 1 species
UACGGAAUGUGCAAACGUUAUUCGGAAUCACUGGGCUUAAAGAGUCCGUAGGCGGCAUGUUAGGUGAGGUGUGAAAUCCCACGGCCCAACCGUGGAAUUGCGCUUCAAACCGGCGUGCUCGAGGAAGAUAGAGGUGGGCGGAACUGAUGGUGGAGCGGUGAAAUGCGUUGAUAUCAUCAGGAACACCGGAGGCGAAGGCGCCCACUGGGUCUUUUCUGACGCUGAGGGACGAAAGCUAGGGGAGCGAACAGG